GACGAACCGUGCGAACGUUAUUCGGAAUCAUUGGGCUUAAAGGGCGCGUAGGCGGGCCGGCGCGUCGGAGUUGAAAGCCCCCGGCUCAACCGGGGGAUAGGCUCCGAGACGGCCAGGCCUCGAGGCGAGGAGGGGGACCUGGAACGUCCGGUGGAGCGGUGAAAUGCGUUGAGAUCGGACGGAACGCCGACGGCGAAAGCAAGGUCCUAGACUCGUUCUGACGCUGAGGCGCGAAAGCCAGGGGAGCGAACGGG
rnacentral:rRNA from 1 species